GACGAACGCUGGCGGCGUGCCUAAUACAUGCAAGUUGAGCGAUGAAGAUUGGUGCUUGCACCAAUUUGAAGAGCAGCGAACGGGUGAGUAACGCGUGGGGAAUCUGCCUUUGAGCGGGGGACAACAUUUGGAAACGAAUGCUAAUACCGCAUAAUAACUUUAAACAUAAGUUUUAAGUUUGAAAGAUGCAAUUGCAUCACUCAAAGAUGAUCCCGCGUUGUAUUAGCUAGUUGGUGAGGUAAAGGCUCACCAAGGCGAUGAUACAUAGCCGACCUGAGAGGGUGAUCGGCCACAUUGGGACUGAGACACGGCCCAAACUCCUACGGGAGGCAGCAGUAGGGAAUCUUCGGCAAUGGACGAAAGUCUGACCGAGCAACGCCGCGUGAGUGAAGAAGGUUUUCGGAUCGUAAAACUCUGUUGGUAGAGAAGAACGUUGGUGAGAGUGGAAAGCUCAUCAAGUGACGGUAACUACCCAGAAAAGGACGGCGAACUACGU
rnacentral:rRNA from 1 species